rnacentral:rRNA from 1 species
AUUGAACGCUGGCGGCAGGCCUAACACAUGCAAGUCGAACGGUAACAGGAAGCAGCUUGCUGCUUCGCUGACGAGUGGCGGACGGGUGAGUAAUGUCUGUGAAACUGCCUGAUGGAGGGGGAUAACUACUGGAAACGGUAGCUAAUACCGCAUAACGUCGCAAGACCAAAGAGGGGGACCUUAGGGCCUCUUGCCAUCGGAUGUGCCCAGAUGGGAUUAGCUAGUAGGUGGGGUAACGGCUCACCUAGGCGACGAUCCCUAGCUGGUCUGAGAGGAUGACCAGCCACACUGGAACUGAGACACGGUCCAGACUCCUACGGGAGGCAGCAGUGGGGAAUAUUGCACAAUGGGCGCAAGCCUGAUGCAGCCAUGCCGCGUGUAUGAAGAAGGCCUUCGGGUUGUAAAGUACUUUCAGCGGGGAGGAAGGGAGUAAAGUUAAUACCUUUGCUCAUUGACGUUACCCGCAGAAGAAGCACCGGCUAACUCCGUG